UUCAAUUAAGAUUGCAUUAUCGAGAUUGGAAUCACAAGAACAUGGAAAGAACUGGACGUGUCUCCCAGCGUGGUGCGUGUUUCGUCCGGGAAUUAAUCUUGUGAUGUUUGCUCGAGGCGAUGUAGCCUUGAUUGUCACAGUAGAUUGGUGUUGGGCCGGGUGUCGUUGAGGAGGCGGCGAAGCCAGAUGGCCUCUUUGCAUGCGGAACUAGCCUCCGCCUCACAGCUGGAGCAGGCAACGACGCUCUUCUUCUUGCUGCUAACUGCAUUGUGAAGGCUAAACAAUUUAGCCAAAGCCAGCCCAGUAAGCUUGACUCGUGGCCUUAAGACCGCAAGAAAACGUAUCUCGGAAGUACGAAAAGACGCGUUUUAGUCAAUGUUGAGGUCCAGGAUUGUCAAGGGUUCUUGCACAAAGUGGAAUUCGAAUGGAUUAGCGCACCUUCCAUGGCGUCCAUAUCCCCUCUAUAACUAGAAAAAAAACACACUCCAACAAGCGAACGAAGCAUUUUCCUAGGCUAUGGCAUUGAACACAAGGCUUACAAGGUCUACAAUCCUGUCUCCAAGGCGCUGAUCAUCUCACCAGACGUGCAUCCAAUGAGACUCCAUCACGUCAAGUGGGAGAAAAUCUGCCUUUGCCAGUGCUGCCCAAUGCCCAAUCCGAACGACCUGCGAAUCUUCAAGACUCACUGCAGCCGCUCCUCUUUGCAGAUCUUCUCGCCAGAACAAGGGCAAGCCACCACCACGGCUGAUUGCUCGCAGCUGUACACGACAUCCCUGAAAGUCUUGUGGAGACUUUGAACUUCUGGGAAUUCCAAGCGGCUCUCAAGUCUCUUGAAGUUGACAGGGAAAAAUGGAAAGUUGCCUUUAUCAUUCCCCUCACCUUGGUGAGACAAGCGCCUCCUGGACGCAUGCUGGGUGUGUGACUGUAAUGGGAGGGAGCGGAGGUGCGGAAGAAUGGGAAAAGAAGUGGAGGUGGAGGAUUUGGAGAAUUCACCGCCAGAUGGAAAGAGCCUGACGUGUCUUCUUGCGUGACGUGUCAGCCACGUGGCUGUCCGCCUCUUCAAUCAUGAUGGUGGUUGUCCUCGGAAGGGCCGGAGGGUGGCGUGGGCUGACCCUGGAUGAGCAUUCUCCGGGAGGUCCUUUCGAGAAGAGUGUGGAUCUUGUUAACAACAGGAAGGCGCAAUUCGGAAUUGAAAAGCUCGGCCUGCUGGCUCAUCACCGAAAACGAGCCCGGCCUGGAACAUUUGAUGUUGCCGCUGAUCAUGAUCACCAAUGCGAUGGCAACAAGCAUCCUUCCACGAUCCAUUCCAGCCACAAAAGCACUAAACGUAGUGAUGAUAUCGUUGUAUAAGAACCAAGAGCUGUGCUUGCUCCGAUACGAUUGGAUCCAAUGGGCC
rnacentral:lncRNA from 1 species